rnacentral:lncRNA from 1 species
CCUCUCCAUCUACCCUACCCAAUGCUCAUGAGCUCCUCCACCCUCUCUCAACCCAUUGUCGCCCUCCCCCUCCAUGCUACCGCCCUCCCCCUCUUUUGCCUCCUCUCCGUCUUCCACCUCCUCCCCCACUUCCUUCCUCGCUCUCCUAUGCCUCCUCUCCCGUCAUCGCCAACAGUCUCUCCUACCCCUCCAACCUUCCUUCAAUCUCCCUCAGGUGCUUUUUUUCACCAUAAAUCAUUUUCAAAAAGAAUAAAAUGAAAAGAAUACGAG